AAAAACAUGGCUCCCUGAUGUCAACAAAUGGGGAGUCGGACCUGCCCGGUGAAUAAGCUUUAACGGCCGCGGUAUCCUGACCGUGCGAAGGUAGCAUAAUAAUUUGCCCUAUAAUUGGGGGCUGGUAUGAAUGGUUUGACGUGAGCAAUACUGUCUCCACAGUGAUUUUCUAGAAUUUUAUCUUUAGGUGAAGAAACCUAAAUUUUAUUAAAAGACAAGAAGACCCUAUUGAGCUUUAAAGAAAUGGUCAAGAUUAAAGUUAAUCUAAUGAUAAACUUUAAUUUGUUUAAUAAUUUUGGUUGGGGCGACUAAGGAACAAUUAAAGCUUCUUUUAUGAAUUAAAAUUUCGCAGAUGUUGAUCCAAAUGUUUUGAUUAAAGAAAUUAGUUACCAUAGGGAUAACAGCAUAAUUUCUUUUGAGAGUUCUUAUCGAAAAGGAAGUUUGUGACCUCGAUGUUGGACUAAAAUUUCCUGAAGGUGUAGCAGCCUUUAAGGGUUGGUCUGUUCGACCAUUAAAAUUUUACGUGAU
rnacentral:rRNA from 1 species